UACGAAGGGGGCGAGCGUUGUUCGGAAUUAUUGGGCGUAAAGGGCGCGUAGGCGGCUUUGCAAGUGACGGGUGAAAUCCCUCGGCUUAACCGAGGAACUGCCUGUCAGACUGUGAGGCUUGAGACCGGGAGAGGUGAGUGGAAUUCCCAGUGUAGCGGUGAAAUGCGUAGAUAUUGGGAGGAACACCAGUGGCGAAGGCGGCUCACUGGACCGGAACUGACGCUGAGGCGCGAAAGCGUGGGGAGCAAACAGG
rnacentral:rRNA from 1 species